UAAUUGAUCAUUGCGGGUUGUGUGACUGUGAUCGGCAGGUGGUGCGGAUGCUGCAGUCUCUGGCCAGUCUGGAGGCGUGGUUAGAGGCGGUGGAGCUGUCCAUCAGGCAGGCGUCUCUGGCUGGAGACCCCGAGUCCGUGAGCGUGGCGGAGCAAGAGAGCUGCCAGCUGGAGCAGGAGCUGGAGGCCAGACGUCUGGAGCUGCAGACCCUCAGACAGGAAGUAGAUCAUCUGAGCAGUCAAAGACAUCUUCACACUCAGCUGCUUCCUGCACGGCUGAAGGACGUGGAGAAGAAGUAUGUGCCGCCGGUUCGACACAAUAUAAGAUGUAGUUUGCGCUGCGGUGUUCGGAUGUAUGAGCGUGGGUGUUUCUUUCAGGUUCAGCAGUGUGCAGAUGGCACUGACCCAGCAGAGCUCAGAGCUGAAGGACACGCGGAUGCUCACGGAGUUCCUGGAGAAGCUGGAGCUCGAGGAAAGUCACUACAGCACCCUGGGACAGCCGCUGUGCAGUGAGCUUGACUCUGGAGCGUCUCUUCUGGGCUUGCCGGUGAGAGGACAUGAUGAGCCCCUGAUGGAAGCCAUUGGGAACCCUGUGAAGGAGCUCAGAGAAGCUGUUGAGAUGCUCAAUGACACGGCACGGGAGAGGGGCCGCUCGCAGUCACAUGACCAGAGCAUCCAGGAACUGCUCACCAGGCAUGCCAUGGUGUCAGCGCGCGUGGAGCAGUGUCUGCAGCGCUGUGCCGAACUCGCCGUAGAUGUGCUGGAGAUGGAGAGUGAGAUGGCUGUGAGAUGUGAGCCGGAUCGCUGCGGUCUGGAUGACCUGCAGGAGUACCAGGACCAGCUGGAGGUACAGGUUCACUGAAUUUGACUACUGGACUACUAGAGAAAAAUGCUGCAAGAGU
rnacentral:lncRNA from 1 species